GACGAACGCUGGCGGCGUGCUUAACACAUGCAAGUCGAACGGAGUGGCGAACGGGUGAGUCACACGUGGGUGAUCUGCCUUGCACUUCGGGAUACGCUUGGGAAACUGGGUCUAAUACCGGAUAGUGCAAGAUGAGUUCGCGGCCUAUCAGUUUGUUGGUUGGGUAAUGGCCUACCCAGGCGUCGACGGGUAGCCGGCCUGAGAGGGUGUACGGCCACAUUGGGACUGAGAUACGGACCAGACUCCUACGGGAGGCAGCGGGGGGGAGUAUUGCACAAUGGGCGGAAGCGUGAUGCAGCGACGCCGGGUGGGGGAUGAAGGCCUUGGGGUUGGAAACGCCUUGCGGCAGGGACGCGGUACCUGUAUAAGAAGCACCGGCUAACUACGUGCCAGCAGCCGCGGUAAUUC
rnacentral:rRNA from 1 species